GGACAGCCCCCCACUCGCACGGACUCUGAACCCCUCUAGCCCUCUCCUCAUUCCUCUCUUUCCUUUCGCUCUCUUCUCACCGCUGUUUCUGCGCGUAUCGCUACCAUCGGUCCUCUGUCGCCUCCAGCAGCGCAUCGGCGACGGCGACGUCGAGCUGUUGCGGCAUCUACCGAGCCCACUCACGGAGUAACUCCUCAUGAUGCCCACUGAGCGAAUCCGGUCAGCUCCAUCCUCGAUGGCAGCAGAUCUGGGCUCGAGGGCAGCGGAUCCGAUUGGCCUACACCGGCUGCUCUGCGACGAGGCCUCCCAAGAUACGCGCGUGCCGCUGUUGAUGUGGUUGGACCGGUGGCUGCGUGUUCCACGCCCUCAUCCCUCUCAUGUGCCUCCAUGCUCACCCUGCCAUGCGCUCCUAUGACAACACUCUCCAUUUCGGUAGUCCGCAAAGAGGUCAAAGCCCUAUUUCAACCUGCCACUCUUCAUUGCCUCCAUGCCAACAUGGACGCCCCUCUGGUAGAGGUCCUUCCCCUGUCUUUCAUCUUGUGUUUCAGAUUUUUUUGGCAGAAAACUUCUUGAUUUUGCGUGUGACUUUGAAUUUGGUUCAGAGUUGUAGAAUUGGAUAAUUCUGACUUCCUGGGUGCUAUUCCAGAUUGAGGUAAUCCUAUUUGUCUAGUGGCUUUGAAAGUAGGGAAGUCAAUAAUUUCCAGUGGACACUAGUAGUUCAAGCAUUGAGAUGUCUGAUCUCCAGUCUCAACCAGACAUGUGGAUAGGUCGUGCAGAGCCUCUUGCUGUUGGGAGCAGAUAUUAUUGCAAUUACUUAUGAUAUCACUAACAGAUAAUCUUCAACUAAACUACACAAUAGAUUGGCCAGGGAGAACGAUAUAGCAUAUGGUUGUAUACACUUGAAAAAGGUCUAAAGUAUUAAACUUAGCAAUUUUUUUCUAAAAAAUUCUUACUACAUAUUGAUGCUGGAUAGUAAGGCAAAUUAAUGUUGUGAUUGAUUUCAGAUGGACGCUUUUCCAAUAUAGGUUAGAUGGGGCCAUGGUUAGUUCCAAUAGGGCUUGUUAAGAAUAGUUUCCGCAGUCUGCAUUUCCAUAGGUGUACAUGGACUUUCCAUUCUUAGUGUCUUUUUUUCCUUUUGUUUUCAGGAAGAUAAAUGAUUCUUUGUUAAUCUAAUUCACCACUGAGCUAAGAUGGCUAUAGAAUGAGGGAAUUUGUUUGGAUAAUCUAUGUCAAAGAGAGGGUUUUUGAGUUUCACCAUUUUGUUAACUUAAACAUUUUAAUUAAUUUGUCAGGCAAAGUGGUGCUUUUCAUUAUCUUUUUUGGGUAACAUUUUCUGUUUGUUUAUUUUCUUUACAGGCAAUCACUUCUAUGCAUUGGUUUUUCAUGUAUGGUUUAUCAUACUUCUUAAGCUCUAACAGAUUAUAUUUUCUCUCACAUCUCACAUAGGUAGUGUAGUUAGCAAGCUUUGAUUGUUAUUAGCAGAGAAGGGAGGGAGGGGGUCAAAGCAGGGAGUAUCUUGCAGCCAACAACAUGAGUGAGGUGUCAUGCAGGUGCGGCAGAUAACAAAUAAUGGUGCUGUGAAGAUCAGUUUCAAUUGUUUAUAAUGCCAUUCAGAAAGUUCCAUCGCCUAUCAAUGUGUUCACCCUCUAUGACUCAGGCAAUUUGAUAGAGUACAUGCAGGCAGGCGAUGCAUACUUCCUCAGCCUGUGAUCAGUAAUAUAAUUAUGCGGGUUGUUCUUGUCUUUAUCCAUCUCAAGAUUUGAUAUAUGUUGGAGGUAGUACAAUUUUGUGAUUAUUUGACAAAUUCUGUUCCAUUUGUAUUGUAGUCAUGUCAGCAAAAUGAUAGCACAUUUAGAUAUAUUCUUGGGUAGCA